AUGAACGCUAGCGACAGGCUUAACACAUGCAAGUCGAGGGGCAGCAUGAUUUGUAGCAAUACAGAUUGAUGGCGACCGGCGCACGGGUGAGUAACGCGUAUGCAACUUACCUAUCAGAGGGGGAUAGCCCGGCGAAAGUCGGAUUAAUACCCCAUAAAACAGGGGUCCCGCAUGGGAAUAUUUGUUAAAGAUUCAUCGCUGAUAGAUAGGCAUGCGUUCCAUUAGGCAGUUGGCGGGGUAACGGCCCACCAAACCGACGAUGGAUAGGGGUUCUGAGAGGAAGGUCCCCCACAUUGGUACUGAGACACGGACCAAACUCCUACGGGAGGCAGCAGUGAGGAAUAUUGGUCAAUGGCCGAGAGGCUGAACCAGCCAAGUCGCGUGAAGGAAGAAGGAUCUAUGGUUUGUAAACUUCUUUUAUAGGGGAAUAAAGUGGAGGACGUGUCCUUUUUUGUAUGUACCCUAUGAAUAAGCAUCGGCUAACUCCGUGCCAGCAGCCGCGGUAAUACGGAGGAUGCGAGCGUUAUCCGGAUUUAUUGGGUUUAAAGGGUGCGUAGGUGGUGAUUUAAGUCAGCGGUGAAAGUUUGUGGCUCAACCAUAAAAUUGCCGUUGAAACUGGGUUACUUGAGUGUGUUUGAGGUAGGCGGAAUGCGUGGUGUAGCGGUGAAAUGCAUAGAUAUCACGCAGAACUCCGAUUGCGAAGGCAGCUUACUAAACUAUAACUGACACUGAAGCACGAAAGCGUGGGGAUCAAACAGGAUUAGAUACCCUGGUAGUCCACGCCGUAAACGAUGUCGACUAGCCGUUGGGAUCCUUGAGAUCUUAGUGGCGCAGCUAACGCGAUAAGUCGACCGCCUGGGGAGUACGGCCGCAAGGUUAAAACUCAAAUGAAUUGACGGGGGCCCGCACAAGCGGUGGAGUAUGUGGUUUAAUUCGAAGCAACGCGAAGAACCUUACCAAGGCUUGACAUAUACAGGAAUAUUUAAGAGAUUAAAUAGCUCUUCGGAGUCUGUAUACAGGUGGUGCAUGGUUGUCGUCAGCUCGUGCCGUGAGGUGUUGGGUUAAGUCCCGCAACGAGCGCAACCCUUAUGGUCAGUUACUACGCAAGAGGACUCUGGCCAGACUGCCGUUGACAAAACGGAGGAAGGUGGGGAUGACGUCAAAUCAGCACGGCCCUUACAUCCGGGGCGACACACGUGUUACAAUGGCAUGGACAAAGGGCAGCUACCUGGUGACAGGAUGCUAAUCUCCAAACCAUGUCUCAGUUCGGAUCGGAGUCUGCAACUCGACUCCGUGAAGCUGGAUUCGCUAGUAAUCGCGCAUCAGCCAUGGCGCGGUGAAUACGUUCCCGGGCCUUGUACACACCGCCCGUCAAGCCAUGGGAGCCGGGGGUACCUGAAGUCCGUAACCGCAAGGAUCGGCCUAGGGUAAAACUGGUGACUGGGGCU
rnacentral:rRNA from 1 species